rnacentral:rRNA from 1 species
AGACUGAGAUCUGAUGACGAGGCUCAUUUAUGAGCUGAAGUGGUUGAUGCCAUGCUUCCAAGAAAAGCUUCUAAGCUUCAGGCAUGUAGAGACCGUACUCCAAACCGACACAGGUGGACAGGUAGAGAAUACCAAGGCGCUUGAGAGAACUUGGGUGAAGGAACUAGGCAAAAUGGCACCGUAACUUCGGGAGAAGGUGCGCCGGUGACGGUGAUGGACCUUGCGUCCUAAGCUGUUGCCGGUCGAAGUAACCAGGCCGCUGCGACUGUUUAUUAAAAACACAGCACUCUGCAAACUCGUAAGAGGACGUAUAGGGUGUGACGCCUGCCCGGUGCCGGAAGGUUAAUUGAUGGGGUUAGCGUAUGCGAAGCUCUUGAUCGAAGCCCCGGUAAACGGCGGCCGUAACUAUAACGGUCCUAAGGUAGCGAAAUUCCUUGUCGGGUAAGUUCCGACCUGCACGAAUGGCGUAACGAUGGCCACACUGUCUCCUCCAGAGACUCAGCGAAGUUGAAAUGUUUGUGAUGAUGCAAUCUCCCCGCGGAAAGACGGAAAGACCCCAUGAACCUUUACUGUAGCUUUGUAUUGGACUUUGAACAGAUCUGUGUAGGAUAGGUGGGAGGCUUUGAAGCUAGGACGCUAGUUCUAGUGGAGCCAACGUUGAAAUACCACCCUGGUGUGUUUGAGGUUCUAACCUAGGUCCCUAAUCGGGAUCGGGGACCGUGCAUGGUAGGCAGUUUGACUGGGGCGGUCUCCUCCCAAAGUGUAACGGAGGAGUUCGAAGGUACGCUAGUUACGGUCGGACAUCGUGACGAUAGUGCAAUGGCAUAAGCGUGCUUAACUGCGAGACUGACAAGUCGAGCAGGUGCGAAAGCAGGACAUAGUGAUCCGGUGGUUCUGUAUGGAAGGGCCAUCGCUCAACGGAUAAAAGGUACUCUGGGGAUAACAGGCUGAUACCGCCCAAGAGUUCAUAUCGACGGCGGUGUUUGGCACCUCGAUGUCGGCUCAUCUCAUCCUGGGGCUGUAGCCGGUCCCAAGGGUAUGGCUGUUCGCCAUUUAAAGAGGUACGUGAGCUGGGUUUAAAACGUCGUGAGACAGUUUGGUCCCUAUCUUCCGUGGGCGCUGCAGAUUUGAAGAAGCCUGCUCCUAGUACGAGAGGACCGGAGUGGACGCACCUCUGGUGUAUCGGUUGUCACGCCAGUGGCAUUGCCGAGUAGCUAAGUGCGGAAGAGAUAACCGCUGAAAGCAUCUAAGCGGGAAACUCGUUCUAAGAUGAGAUCUGCCGGGGCCUUGAGCCCCCUAAAGAGUCGUUCAAGACCAGGACGUUGAUAGGCUGGGUGUGGAAGCGCAGUAAUGCGUUAAGCUAACCAGUACUAAUUGCUCGUGAGGCUUGACC